rnacentral:rRNA from 1 species
GAUGAACGCUGGCGGCGUGCUUAACACAUGCAAGUCGAACGGAAAGGCCCAAGCUUGCUUGGGUACUCGAGUGGCGAACGGGUGAGUAACACGUGGGUGAUCUGCCCUGCACUUCGGGAUAAGCCUGGGGAACUGGGUCUAAUACCGGAUAGGACGAUGGUUUGGAUGCCAUUGUGGAAAGUUUUUUCGGUGUGGGAUGAGCUCGCGGCCUAUCAGCUUGUUGGUGGGGUAAUGGCCUACCAAGGCGUCGACGGGUAGCCGGCCUGAGAGGGUGUACGGCCACAUUGGGACUGAGAUACGGCCCAGACUCCUACGGGAGGCAGCAGUGGGGAAUAUUGCACAAUGGGCGCAGGCCUGAUGCAGCGACGCCGCGUGGGGGAUGACGGCCUUCGGGUUGUAAACUCCUUUCGCUAGGGACGAAGCGUUUUUGUGACGGUACCUGGAGAAGAAGCACCGGCUAACUACGUG